GGAGAGGUACCGAAGUGGUCAUAACGGGGGCGCCUCGAAAGCGUCUAGUCGGGAAACCGGCACGUGGGUUCGAAUCCCACCCUCUCCGCCA
rnacentral:tRNA from 1 species